rnacentral:rRNA from 1 species
UACGAAGGGGGCUAGCGUUGCUCGGAAUCACUGGGCGUAAAGCGCACGUAGGCGGAUUGUUAAGUCAGGGGUGAAAUCCUGGAGCUCAACUCCAGAACUGCCUUUGAUACUGGCGAUCUGAGUCCGGGAGAGGUGAGUGGAACUGCGAGUGUAGAGGUGAAAUUCGUAGAUAUUCGCAAAGAACACCAGUGGCGAAGGCGGACUCACUG